AUGCCAUGGUUGGGGAAUUUUCGAAGCAGUUCUUUGAAUCUAUCCCAGCUUUCAUAUAAUAAUUCUCCUUUUUUCUGCUGGAAAUAUGUGAUCUCAUUCCUUAGUUG